rnacentral:tRNA from 1 species
GGGGUUGUGGCUCAGUGGCAGAGCCCUUGCCUAGCAUGCGGGAGGCACUGGGUUCAAUCCCCGGCUCCA